AUCUUUGUGCAGUGGCAGUAUCAUAUAGCCCAUGAGGAUUAUCUGAGAUGCAGUUAUUGCUAGUUGAAAACUUAACUCAAUACCCCGCCUUGAUGACUUGAAAUAUAGUCAGCUAUUGCAAUUUUUGAUAGUCUCCAUUGAGA